rnacentral:rRNA from 1 species
GACGAACGCUGGCGGCGUGCUUAACACAUGCAAGUCGAACGGAAAGGCCUCUUUCGGGGGGUACUCGAGUGGCGAACGGGUGAGUAACACGUGAGUAACCUGCCCUUGACUUUGGGAUAACUUCAGGAAACUGGGGCUAAUACCGGAUAGGAGCUCCUGCUGCAUGGUGGGGGUUGGAAAGUUUCGGCGGUUGGGGAUGGACUCGCGGCUUAUCAGCUUGUUGGUGGGGUAGUGGCUUACCAAGGCUUUGACGGGUAGCCGGCCUGAGAGGGUGACCGGCCACAUUGGGACUGAGAUACGGCCCAGACUCCUACGAGAGGCAGCAGUGGGGAAUAUUGCACAAUGGGUGGAAGCCUGAUGCAGCAACGCCGUGUGCGGGAUGACGGCCUUCGGGUUGUAAACCGCUUUCGCUCAUGACGAAGCUUUGUGUGACGGUAGUGGGGAAAGAAGCACCGGCUAACUACGU